rnacentral:rRNA from 1 species
AUACGUAGGUGGCAAGCGUUGUCCGGAAUUACUGGGUGUAAAGGGUGUGUAGGCGGGGAUGCAAGUCAGAUGUGAAAUCCAUGGGCUCAACCUAUGGUGUGCAUUUGAAACUGCGUUUCUUGAGUGUGGGAGAGGUAAGCGGUAUUCCUAGUGUAGCGGUGAAAUUCGUAGAUAUUCGGAGGAACACCAGUGGCGAAGGCGGCUUACUGGUCCAUUACUGACGCUGAGGUGCGAAAGCGUGGGGAGC